rnacentral:tRNA from 1 species
UGUUUUGUGGCUUAGUUGGUUAAAGUACCGGACCAGCGAAAACGGAGUCGUGGGAUCGAAUUCGACCAGAACAA